rnacentral:rRNA from 1 species
CAGUAGCCGCGGUAAUCCGAAGGGUGCAAGCGUUAAUCGGAAUUACUGGGCGUAAAGCGUGCGUAGGCGGUUUGUUAAGUCUGUUGUGAAAUCCCCGGGCUCAACCUGGGAAUGGCAAUGGAUACUGGCAAGCUAGAGUGUGUCAGAGGAUGGUGGAAUUCCCGGUGUAGCGGUGAAAUGCGUAGAGAUCGGGAGGAACAUCAGUGGCGAAGGCGGCCAUCUGGGACAACACUGACGCUGAGGCACGAAAGCGUGGGGAGCAAACAGGAUUAGAUACCCCCGUAGUCCCUGUCUCUUAUAU